rnacentral:rRNA from 1 species
UGCCAGCAGCCGCGGUAAUACGGAGGGGGUUAGCGUUGUUCGGAAUUACUGGGCGUAAAGCGCACGUAGGCGGAUUAGUAAGUUAGGGGUGAAAUCCCGGGGCUCAACCCCGGAACUGCCUCUAAUACUGCUAGUCUUGAGUUCGAGAGAGGUGAGUGGAAUUCCGAGUGUAGAGGUGAAAUUCGUAGAUAUUCGGAGGAACACCAGUGGCGAAGGCGGCUCACUGGCUCGAUACUGACGCUGAGGUGCCAAGGCGUGUGGAGAAAACCGGGUUAGAUG